UACGUAGGGUGCGAGCGUUAAUCGGAAUUACUGGGCGUAAAGCGUGCGCAGGCGGUUUUGUAAGCCAGAUGUGAAAUCCCCGGGCUUAACCUGGGAAUGGCAUUUGGGACUGCAAGGCUUGAGUGCGGCAGAGGAGACUGGAAUUCCUGGUGUAGCAGUGAAAUGCGUAGAUAUCAGGAGGAACACCGAUGGCGAAGGCAGGUCUCUGGGCUGACACUGACGCUCAUGCACGAAAGCGUGGGGAGCAAACAGGAUUAGAAACCCGGAG
rnacentral:rRNA from 1 species